UACGAAGGGGGCUAGCGUUGCUCGGCAUCACUGGGCGUAAAGGGGGCGUAGGCGGGUCUUUAAGUCCGGGGGGAAAUCCUGGAGCUCAACUCCAGAACUGCCUUUGAUACUGAAGAUCUUGAGUCCGGGAGAGGUGAGUGGAACUGCGAGUGUAGAGGUGAAAUUCGUAGAUAUUCGCAAGAACACCAGUGGCGAAGGCGGCUCACUGGCCCGGUACUGACGCUGAGGUGCGAAAGCGUGGGGAGCAAACAGG
rnacentral:rRNA from 1 species